GCAGUCCUCAGAAUGUUUUUAAUGGUUCCAGAGAGUUCUCUGGCUAAAGAUCAGUGCCACAUCUGUCAGACAAUGUUGACGAUCUCAUCAAAAACCCUUCCAAUGUCAUCACCAAACUUUUGGAUAUAGACCCAAGGGACUUAUCUUGGAGACCAGAGUAGACAUGGCACUGACUUCCUCACCAGUGCACCUCAGAAACUGUGGGCUCAAGGAGUGACUUCAGAAGGACAGGAGUGAUUUCUGUUUUGCUCACCAAUCUACCUGCAGUGCUAGCGCAAGAUCUGGCACACAUAGUGUUCAAUCAGCAUACGUGGAUUGAGGAAUCAACAUGUCUAUCUCUUGCUGGAAUAUGGGUGAGAUGACUGUGUACUAUUAAUUUCUGAAUCCCCAUCUCUUAGCAUGGUGCCUACCAUAAU